rnacentral:snRNA from 1 species
GGACAUGAGGAGCAAUCUGGCUAUGACAUCUGUCACCCCAUUCAUUGCCAGGGUUGAUUCUUCUGUUCUGACUGGCUAGGCAGGUGUCCCCAUCCUCCCUCAUUGCUCCACGAGUUUCCCUCCUGAAACUAUGUGCUCAAUGGAAGAGGACAACCUUCCCACUACAGGAGGUCCAGUUUUCAGUCAAGGGUAGAUGAGUAGCUGUGCUCACCUGCUAGAACCUCCAAACAAGCUCUCAAGAUGAUGACAGGGGUUGCAUCGAAUCUGUAGAUCCAUAGGACAUAUAUUAUUAAUUUUUAUGUAUUUUU